CACGUAGGGCGCAAGCGUUGUCCGGAAUUAUUGGGCGUAAAGAGCUCGUAGGCGGCUCGUUGCGUCGGCUGUGAAAACCCACAGCUUAACUGUGGGCCUGCAGCCGAUACGGGCGAGCUGGAGUUCGGUAGGGGAGACUGGAAUUCCUGGUGUAGCGGUGAAAUGCGCAGAUAUCAGGAGGAACACCGGUGGCGAAGGCGGGUCUCUGGGCCGAUACUGACGCUGAGGAGCGAAAGCGUGGGGAGCGAACAGG
rnacentral:rRNA from 1 species